rnacentral:rRNA from 1 species
CCUACGGGAGGCAGCAGUGGGGAAUAUUGGACAAUGGGCGAAAGCCUGAUCCAGCAAUUCCGCGUGUGUGAAGAAGGCCUUCGGGUUGUAAAGCACUUUAGUGGGGGAAGAAACAGCUUGGCCACACCAAGCCUUGACGGUACCCCAAGAAUAAGCACCGGCUAACUCUGUGCCAGCAGCCGCGGUAAUACAGAGGGUGCAAGCGUUAAUCGGAUUUACUGGGCGUAAAGGGUGCGUAGGUGGCUACUUAAGUCGGAUGUGAAAGCCCGGGGCUCAACCUCGGAAUUGCAUUCGAUACUGAGUGGCUAGAGUUCGGUAGAGGGCGGCGGAAUUUCCGGUGUAGCGGUGAAAUGCGUAGAUAUCGGAAGGAACAUCAAUGGCGAAGGCAGCCGCCUGGGCCUGGACUGACACUGAGGCACGAAAGCGUGGGUAGCAAACAGGAUUAGAUACCCUGGUAGUCCACGCCGUAAACGAUGAGAACUUGACGUUGGUUCGUUUUACGAAUCGGUGUCGCAGCUAACGCGAUAAGUUCUCCGCCUGGGGAGGUACGGCGCGAGUAGAAGUAAAUAGUAGUUAGAGCGUUGAGAGNGCGAGGCGACGACGAGGAGGAGG